rnacentral:sRNA from 1 species
AACGUAAAAGACGUGAUUUCGAAAUAAUUGUAAUAGCAUAAAAAUAUUAUAAUCAGCUGAAAGUGUAUAAUGUUACAUGGCGUGUUGGAAUGAUGAUUAGAGAUAAAUUCAAAAGAGAUCUUGAUGAAGCCAUCAAAUUGCGUCGCCGUUUACAAAGUGAGACAUUUGAUUGGCGCCAUUUGCUUCCGCACAAUUGAUGAGCUGUUGCUGAAAAGAAAGAAGAAGAAAAACACUGUGCUGCAAUAGCCAACAAUUUCUUUUGUUUUCAAUUGUUGCAAUUGUACAGCCGCCGCCUGGGAUCUUUCACAAAACUUACGCAGUGUGCUGGAAUGUUGAUGGAUCUUCGUGAGUAAAAAUAGCAACAAAAGCAAGGCACACGUGCGGCGGCUAUUACACAAAUGCUCAUUUAAUAGAUGCCCAAACAUCAGGCACAUCCAUAAUUCGGAUAUUACACAACUCGUGCAACUAGAAAAAAAAGAAGGAGAAGGAGAAGGAGAAGAAAGGCAACCACCAAAUAAACAAGGUUUGCAAACAAAAUUAAAUUAACAAAUUGUUGCCCCAAAGGUAUUUGCAAAUGGUGUCAAAACGUUGUAAGCAUCACAAGAGACACAUCAAUCCGACGGAGGGCAGAAGCUGAGGUGGAACAGCUUAUGGAUUGGCAGCUAUAAAGAUCACAUAAGCAGCUCAACUGGUAAGAUUUCUGCUAAUUGAUUGGUG